rnacentral:lncRNA from 1 species
GAAUCAAAUUGUUAAGAAUACAAUUCCUUUCAAAUUGAUCUAUCGAUUCAAUACAUUUCCAAUCAAAAUCUCAGUAUAUUUUUCUAGAAUCACAAGUGACUAAGUGGACUGUGGAAUGUACACAGGAAAGGCACAGGAAUCUAGAAUAAACAAAGUCAUUUUGAAACACAAGAACAAUGUUGAAGGAUUCAAAACCCAAAUUCAAGACUGACUUUUGACUACUAUAAUCAAAACAGUGUUUUAUUGGCAAAAAGAUAAACACAUAGAUCAAUGGAAUAGAAUAAAAAGUCUAGAAACAUAUCUACAUAGACAACUGAUUUUUGACAAAGGUGAGAAGGCCAUUCAGUGGAGAAAAGACAGUCAUUUCAACAACUGGUUCUUGAACAACUGGAUGUUCAUAUUCAAAAAGGAGAAGGAGGAGGAAGGAUGGGGGAAGAGAAGAGUGAAGAUGAAAAUUGAAGAAGACAAAGAUGAGGAAGGAGACGGAGGAGAAGCAGAAGGGAAAGAGGAAGAAGGAGGCGAAAGAAGAGGAGAAGCUUAACUCAUAUCUCUCACCUUAUACACAAAUUAACUCAAAACUCCUAAGUACCCCCAAGAUAAUUAAAAGCACAUGUUCACAGCAAAAACUUGUACAUGAAUGUUCACAGCAAUAUUACUAAUAAUAGCUAAAAAGUGAAAACAACCCAAUGUCUUUAAGAUGAUUAAUGGGUAAAUGUGUAUAUCAACACAUGAAAUAUCAUUGUAUUCCAACCAUAAAAAGGAAUGGAGUACUGACACAUGCUACAUAAGAAGUGAAUCUUGAGUGGGACGCAGUGGCACACACUUGUAAUCCCAGAGGCUCAGGAAGCUGAGGCAGCAGGAUUGCUAGUUCAAAGUCAGCCUCAGCAAAAGCAAGGCACUAAGCAACAGAGUGAGACCCUGUCUCUAAAUAAAACACAAAUUAGGGCUGGGGAUGUGGCUCAGUGGUUGAGUGCCUCUGAGUUCAAUUCUUGGUACUCCCCGCAAAAAAACUAAAUCUUGAAAAUAUUAUGCCAAAUAGAAGGAUC